CCUACGGGGGGCAGCAGUGGGGAAUAUUGGACAAUGGGCGAAAGCCUGAUCCAGCCAUGCCGCGUGUGUGAAGAAGGCCUUCGGGUUGUAAAGCACUUUCAGUGGGGAAGAAAGCCUUGGGGCUAAUACCCUCGAGUAAGGACAUCACCCACAGAAGAAGCACCGGCUAACUCCGUGCCAGCAGCCGCGGUAAUACGGAGGGUGCGAGCGUUAAUCGGAAUUACUGGGCGUAAAGCGCGCGUAGGCGGUCUGAUAAGCCGGUUGUGAAAGCCCCGGGCUCAACCUGGGAACGGCAUCCGGAACUGUCAGGCUAGAGUGCAGGAGAGGAAGGUAGAAUUCCCGGUGUAGCGGUGAAAUGCGUAGAGAUCGGGAGGAAUACCAGUGGCGAAGGCGGCCUUCUGGACUGACACUGACGCUGAGGUGCGAAAGCGUGGGUAGCAAACAGGAUUAGAUACCCUAGUAGUC
rnacentral:rRNA from 1 species